rnacentral:misc_RNA from 1 species
UUUCCGUAGGUGAACCUGCAGAAGGAUCAUUCAUAAUAAAGUGUUUUAUGGCACUUUUUAAAAAUCCAUAUCCACCUUGUGUGCAAUGUUAGAUCUCGUCAAUCUUGGCGAGAUUUUUAUACAUCAACUCAUUCUUUAACUAAUUUAUCUGAAAAAUAUUAUGAAUACUUAAUUCAAAAUACAACUUUCAACAACGGAUCUCUUGGCUCUC